UACGGAGGAUGCGAGCGUUAUCCGGAUUUAUUGGGUUUAAAGGGUGCGUAGGCGGCCAUUUAAGUCAGCGGUGAAAUUUUGCAGCUUAACUGUAACAGUGCCGUUGAUACUGUUUGGCUAGGAUUUGGUUGUAGUGUGCGGAAUGUGUGGUGUAGCGGUGAAAUGCUUAGAUAUCACACAGAACACCGAUUGCGAAGGCAGCACACUAAGUCAUUAUUGACGCUGAGGCACGAAAGUGUGGGGAUCAAACAGGAUUAGA
rnacentral:rRNA from 1 species